CUUUAUCUUCGAUUAGAACUCUAAGAAAAAAUUACGCUGUUAUCCCUAAGGUAAUUUUUCUUUUAAUCUUAAUUAAAGGAUCAUUAAAAUAAACACUUAUUUAUGUAAUAAUAAAAAAAAAGUUAAAUAAAUUUUUUAAUCACCCCAAUUAAAUAUUUAAUUUUAAAAAAAUAAUAAACAAUUCCUUCUUUUUUAUUUUAAAAAUAAAUAUCAAACUCUAUAGGGUCUUCUCGUCUUUUAUAAAAAUUUAAGCUUUUUAACUUAAAAAUAAAAUUCAAAAAAUUAAAAUUGAGACAGUUAUUUUCUCAUCAAACCUUUCAUUCCAGCUUUCAAUUAAAAAACUAAUGAUUAUGCUACCUUAGCACAGUCAAAAUACUGCGGCCGUUUAA
rnacentral:rRNA from 1 species